UAGCGUAAUCACUUGUUCUUUAAUUGAGGACUAGUAUGAACGGCCCCACGAGGACUACACUGUCUCCUUUUUCUAAUCAAUGAAACUGAUCUCCUCGUGAAGAAGCGAGGAUAAAUAUAUAAGACGAGAAGACCCUAUGGAGCUUUAAACAACUGGGGUACUUGCUAAUUCCUAAUUCAUUUCCUGAAAGCUAAACAAAUUAAAGCAUCUUACCCCCUAGUUUUAGGUUGGGGUGACCACGGAGAAAAAAUCAACCUCCACGCUGUAAGAAGCCUCCCAUCUUCUAAGCUAAGAGUUACAUCUCUAAGCAUCAACACAUUGACUCCCAUUGACCCAAUAAUUUGAUCAACGAACCAAGUUACCCUAGGGAUAAC
rnacentral:rRNA from 1 species